AUUGAACGCUGGCGGCAGGCUUAACACAUGCAAGUCGAGCGGGGGAAGGUAGCUUGCUACCGGACCUAGCGGCGGACGGGUGAGUAAUGCUUAGGAAUCUGCCUGUUAGUGGGGGACAACAUCUCGAAAGGGAUGCUAAUACCGCAUACGUCCUACGGGAGAAAGCAGGGGAUCUUCGGACCUUGCGCUAAUAGAUGAGCCUAAGUCGGAUUAGCUAGUUGGUGGGGUAAAGGCCUACCAAGGCGACGAUCUGUAGCGGGUCUGAGAGGAUGGUCCGCCACACUGGGACUGAGACACGGCCCAGACUCCUACGGGAGGCAGCAGUGGGGAAUAUUGGACAAUGGGGGGAACCCUGAUCCAGCCAUGCCGCGUGUGUGAAGAAGGCCUUAUGGUUGUAAAGCACUUUGAGCGAGGAGGAGGCUACUCUAGUUAAUACCUAGGGAUAGUGGACGUUACUCGCAGAAUAAGCACCGGCUAACUCUGUGCCAGCCGCCGCCGUAA
rnacentral:rRNA from 1 species